AGUUUUCGUAUUAAUGAAAUUAUUAAAUUUAUGUUAGUAGUGAAAUGCUAGACGAUUUUUCAUAUCUGGUUGAAGGAGAAUUAAAUUAAAUUUAGUUAUUUUGAGGUUAAAAAAGCUUUAAAAUAAUAAAGAGUAGGAGGGAAGAGCUUCUUAUUCUAAUAAUAAGUAAACUAUAAUAAAAGUAAUUUAAGUAUUACUGAAUUAGGCUUAAAAACAGCCAUAUUAGUAAAGCGUUCUAGUUAAUGUAACAUCUUCGAUUAAUAUUUAUAUAAGUAAAAAUUUAGUAGUAAUUAUCCGACUCUCUUAGUUAAUAUGUUAUUAAAAGUAAUAAUGAUUUUAUUAGUAGAAAUAAACUGUGAUAUUAUAAUUUGAAAUGAAAAAAAAUUUCUUAUUUAAUACAAGAUAUAAUUAAGGAACUCGGCAAAUAAUGCUUUUGCCUGUUUAUCAAAAACAUGUCUAUAUGAUUGGUAUGUAAAGUCUGGCCUGCCCACUGAUUUAUUUUAAAGGGCCGCGGUAUACUGACCGUGCGAAGGUAGCAUAAUCAUUAGUCUUUUAAUUGGAGGCUCGUAUGAAUGGUUGGACAAAA
rnacentral:rRNA from 1 species